rnacentral:rRNA from 1 species
AUUGAACGCUGUCGGCAGGCCUAACACAUGCAAGUCGAACGAGUGGCGGAAGGGUGAGUAAUGUCUGGGAAACUGCCUGAUGGAGGGGGAGGACUAAUGGAAACGGUAGCUAAUACCGCAUACCAUCGGAUGUGCCGAGAUGGGCUUAGCUAGUAGGUGGGGUACAGGCUCACACAGGCGACACUCCCUAGCUGGUCUGAGAGGAUGACCAGCCACCCUGGAACUGUGACACGGUCCAGUCUCCUACGGGAGGCAGCAGUGGGGAAUAUUGCACAAUGGGCGCAACCCUGAUGCAGCCAUGCCGCGUGUAUGAAGAAGGCCUUCGGGUUGUAAAGUACUUUCAGCGGGGAGGCGUUACCCGCAGAAGAAGCACCGGCUAACUCCGUGCCAGCAGCCGCGGUAAUAC